rnacentral:misc_RNA from 1 species
UCCGUGUUCACCACGGCAGUCUCUCUAGAGUGCCCAACUGAAUGCUGGCAACUAAAGACAAGGGUUGCGCUCGUUGCGGGACUUAACCCAACAGGUCACCCCACGAGCUGACGACAGCCAUGCAGCACCUGUCUCUCGGUCGGAUUUCUCCGAAGACUACAUCUCUGCAGUUGUCCGAGGAUGUCAAAUCCAGGUAAGGUUCUUCGCGUUGCUUCGAAUUAAACCACAUGAUCCACCGCUUGUGCGGGCCCCCGUCAAUUCCUUUGAGUUUUAGCCUUGCGGCCGUACUUCCCAGGCGGGGUACUUAGUGCGUUAGCGCCGGUUCAGCAGGGGUCAAGACCCACCAAACCUAGUACCCAUCGUUUACAGCGUGGACUAC